rnacentral:rRNA from 1 species
AUUGAACGCUGGCGGCAUGCCUUACACAUGCAAGUCGAACGGCAGCACGGGAGCAAUCCUGGUGGCGAGUGGCGAACGGGUGAGUAAUAUAUCGGAACGUGCCCAGUCGUGGGGGAUAACGUAGAGAAAUUUACGUCUAAUACCGCAUACGAUCCAAGGAUGAAAGCGGGGGACCGGUAAGGCCUCGCGCGAUUGGAGCGGCUGAUAUCAGAUUAGGUUGNGGUUGAGGUAAAAGACUCACCAAGCCGACGAUCUGUAGCUGGUUU